GGGUGCAUGGCAUCUAAGUUUACAUAGACCAUGGUAAAGGCGUUGCCUAACAUAUGUGCUUAGGAUAAAUUUAGGAGAAAAUGAGUGGCAUAAUGUAAGCCACACACCUUAAUGUAGGCGAUAAUAUGUGCGAUGCCAACCCAGUCGCACAGGCUCACUGGUUUAAGUUGGCGAUUACAUAUGCGCCGUACACCUUAAGUUGUGUGACAACAUAUGCGCCGCC
rnacentral:lncRNA from 1 species